UACGGAGGAUGCAAGCGUUAUCCGGAAUCAUUGGGUGUAAAGGGUCCGUAGGCGGGUAAAUAAGUCAGGGGUGAAAGUCUGCAGCUCAACUGUAGAAUUGCCAUUGAUACUGUUGACCUUGAGUAAUUAUGAAGUGGUUAGAAUAUGUAGUGUAGCGGUGAAAUGCAUAGAUAUUACACAGAAUACCGAUCGCGAAGGCAGAUCACUAAUAAUUCACUGACGCUGAUGGACGAAAGCGUAGGUAGCCAACCGG
rnacentral:misc_RNA from 1 species